rnacentral:rRNA from 1 species
UACGAACCGUCCAAACGUUAUUCGGAAUUACUGGGCUUAAAGGGUAUGUAGGCGGCGCUGUUAGUCGGGUGUGAAAUCCCUCGGCUCAACCGAGGAAUUGCGCCCGAUACUGCAGUGCUUGAGGGAGACAGAGGUAAGCGGAACUGAUGGUGGAGCGGUGAAAUGCGUUGAUAUCAUCAGGAACACCGGUGGCGAAAGCGGCUUACUGGGUCUCUUCUGACGCUGAGAUACGAAAGCUAGGGGAGCGAAGGGG